CUGGAGAAUACCCAGUGACAGCAUCACCUCACAGGGGAGAAAGGAAGCACAAGGCGCUGAGUGCAUCUUCCUGUUCCUCCUGGGGCAAAAGCAACCACAAAGCUACAAAGCACCAGAUGUCAAGGACAAAACAUAGGCUUUGCCCUUGCAGAGCUUAUUAUGCCCCCGUGAGCUGCAUCCUCAGCCCCCAGCCUGUGACAGUCACUAAGGAGACCUAGCUCUACAUGUUAGAAGGCAGGUCAAGAUCUAACAGCAGCUUUUUAAAGAUUU